GUGGGGAAUAUUGCACAAUGGGGGAAACCCUGAUGCAGCGACGCCGCGUGAGCGAUGAAGUAUUUCGGUAUGUAAAGCUCUAUCAGCAGGGAAGAAAAUGACGGUACCUGACUAAGAAGCCCCGGCUAACUACGUGCCAGCAGCCGCGGUAAUACGUAGGGGGCAAGCGUUAUCCGGAUUUACUGGGUGUAAAGGGAGCGUAGACGGCUGUGCAAGCCAGAUGUGAAAGCCCGGGGCUCAACCUCGGGACUGCAUUUGGAACUGUGUAGCUGGAGUGUCGGAGAGGCAGGCGGAAUUCCUAGUGUAGCGGUGAAAUGCGUAGAUAUUAGGAGGAACACCAGUGGCGAAGGCGGCCUGCUGGACGAUGACUGACGUUGAGGCUCGAAAGCGUGGGGAGCAAACAGG
rnacentral:rRNA from 1 species